GAUGAACGCUGGCGGCGUGCCUAAUACAUGCAAGUCGAGCGAACAGACGAGGAGCUUGCUCCUCUGACGUUAGCGGCGGACGGGUGAGUAACACGUGGAUAACCUACCUAUAAGACUGGGAUAACUUCGGGAAACCGGAGCUAAUACCGGAUAAUAUAUUGAACCGCAUGGUUCAAUAGUGAAAGACGGUUUUGCUGUCACUUAUAGAUGGAUCCGCGCCGCAUUAGCUAGUUGGUAAGGUAACGGCUUACCAAGGCGACGAUGCGUGCCGACCUGAGAGGGUGAUCGGCCACACUGGAACUGAGACACGGUCCAGACUCCUACGGGAGGCAGCAGUAGGGAAUCUUCCGCAAUGGGCGAAAGCCUGACGGAGCAACGCCGCGUGAGUGAUGAAGGUCUUCGGAUCGUAAAACUCUGUUAUUAGGGAAGAACAAAUGUGUAAGUAACUAUGCACGUCUUGACGGUACCUAAUCAGAAAGCCACGGCUAACUACGUA
rnacentral:rRNA from 1 species